GGAGCUGUGUAGUGUGUAGUAUUGCCUUAGUUGUGUUUUAUCUUGUGUCAUGAGUCUACUGUGAGAUUUCAGUAAGGAAUGCUGUAAAGAAGACAAACGCCGAGAAAAAUUUAACUUACAUCGUUUCUACAAUUUACCUGAACAGGUGCUUCGCGUUGUGUAUAGUGCGAAACAGCAACCUUUGCCUUACUUUCAACUGGCUGUAGUGGAGGUUUUUAUUUGAAUUAUAGUCUGUUAACAUCAUAGUAAAAUACUGAAGAUCAACAUGACAAGGCUAAUUUAACCAGGUUUGUGAUGUUCCCUGUCUUGAAGCAGGAGACUGUCGUAGAGCUCCCAAAAUUGGCUGUUCUUGACCAAGACCCGCUCAUUGAGCAGGUGAGUACAACAUGAAAUCAAGUGGAAGUAUGUCUCCAUCUCCCCCAGGAGGUCCAAAAUCUGCUCCUCUUAGCUUUGUGCACCAACCUGACAGCUGACCUCAGAGAGACGAGUAUGUAUCCACUCUCAACCAGAUGGGCAUCGAAGUUGGAACUCUAAACUAUAUCCUGCCUAUCCAAAGCUACAUGCUCACUAAACCUGAUCUCAAGUCUUCUACUUGUCUGUCCCCAUGUAAUAGGCAUUACAGCCUGCGUGUUUCAUCCUGUGCAUCCAAUUCGUCAUGCACAUUUCUUUUAUCAACACCAUUAGCCAAAAUAUGCACAAGAUCAGUUGUAGUAAAAAUGUAUCUGGUUUAAUGAGCCUUUUCAUGUUGAUCAGUAUUUUACUAAGAUGUUGACAUAUCAUCAUAAAAACAAUUUGUAUGAACUUUGUUUCUUUUAUAUUGAUUAUGUAGUGGAUCACUUAACCAUUAUGAUACAAGCAACUAUGCUAGAUUUUACCAUCUGCUGAAUUCAAUUUGAUAUGGAACACUAUUUUAUCAAGACGGUCUUCAAAAAAGUUUUAAGACUUUUUAAAUUUUUUUUAUUUCUAAUGUGAUGUAACAGUUCUGUAAAGCACAGUUGUGUGAAUCUAUGAAUGAUCUUUUACAAAAGAUUUGAUGAAUCACGUCGCCAGUAAUAUAAGAACAAACACAUUGUAAAUCAUAAUUUCUUGAUUUAUU